rnacentral:rRNA from 1 species
GCGGUGGAGCAUGUGGUUUAAUUCGAAGCAACGCGAAGAACCUUACCAGGUCUUGACAUCCCGAUGCUAUUUCUAGAGAUAGAAAGUUACUUCGGUACAUCGGUGACAGGUGGUGCAUGGUUGUCGUCAGCUCGUGUCGUGAGAUGUUGGGUUAAGUCCCGCAACGAGCGCAACCCCUAUUGUUAGUUGCCAUCAUUCAGUUGGGCACUCUAGCGAGACUGCCGGUAAUAAACCGGAGGAAGGUGGGGAUGACGUCAAAUCAUCAUGCCCCUUAUGACCUGGGCUACACACGUGCUACAAUGGGUGGUACAAAGAGCAGCUAACUCGCGAGAGUGUGCAAAAUCUCAAAAAGCCAUCCUCAGUUCGGAUUGGAGUCUGCAACUCGACUCCAUGAAGUUGGAAUCGCUAGUAAUCGCGGAUCAGCAUGCCCGCGGUCGAAUACGUUCCGGGCCUU